rnacentral:tRNA from 1 species
GGCCGGUUAGCUCAGUCAGUUGAGCGUGGUGCUGAUAACACCAAGGUCAUGGGUUCAAUGCCCGUUCAGUCCC